rnacentral:rRNA from 1 species
UACGGGGGGGGCAAGCGUUGUUCGGAAUUACUGGGCGUAAAGGGCUCGUAGGCGGCCAACUAAGUCAGACGUGAAAUCCCUCGGCUUAACCGGGGAACUGCAUCUGAUACUGGACGGCUUGAGAUUGGGAGAGGGAUGCGGAAUUCCAGGUGUAGCGGUGAGAUGCGUAGAUAUCUGGAGGAACACCGGUGGCGAAGGCGGCAUCCUGGACCAACACUGACGCUGAGGAGCGAAAGCCAGGGGAGCAAACGGG